CUGCAGCUUCUAUCAGUUUUUUUCUCUGAUGGUUUCUGUAUUGUUAAGAUGGUCCGUGGCUACAAAUAACAGUCACUUGAGUAACUCAAAUGGGAUUUUUCGCAGUAACAAAGUGUCAGUUGGUGGUGGUGACGGGCACUGAUUCAACAACUGGACGGUCAGGACCAGGACCAGCCUUUCUGUGACCGUGACCUUUCCCCAUGUGCCAGGGACAUCCUGCCUGUGCCUCUGGAGAGGAACCGCCAUGCCCAGGACCUUGGGGACCCAGCCUCACCAGGUGGCCAGGCAAGGCGGGGGAGGC